rnacentral:rRNA from 1 species
AUGGCAAUAUGUCGGUGGGCUGGAUACCCAGACCUAUUUGUGACAUUCACAUGCAACGCGGCUUGGCCGGAGAUUGAGGCUAUGCUACACGAAGUAGCCCAAACAGCAUACGAAAGGCCUGAUAUUGUUGAUCGAGUAUUCCACAUAAAGCUCAAGGAGUUCACGAGAGAUAUAAGAGAAAGGGAAUACUUCGGAAAAACACUCGCAAUUAUAUACACAAUAGAGUUUCAAAAAAGGGGCCUCCCACAUUCCCACAUAGUCAUAUUCCUCGACAAAAAGGAAAAGAAACACAAGUAUCCAGAGCCAUCAAAGGUAGAUAGAGUAACUUGCGCAGAGAUACCAGACAAGGAAAUUGACCCAGAAGGAUAUGCAGUUGUGGAAAACUACAUGAUGCACGGGCCAUGUGGUGCAGCAAACACGAAGUCACCAUGCAUGGUCAACAACAGAUGCAUAAGAAAGUUCCCCAAAAAAUACAACAACAAUACCACUGUCGAUGAAGAUGGAUACCCAGUAUAUAGAAGACGAGAUGAUGGAAGAUUCAUACAGAAAGGGGAAGUAAAGUUGGAUAACAGAUACGUAGUCCCGUAUAACAGAAAUCAACUGGUGAAAUAUCAAGCACAUAUAAAUGUCUAG